rnacentral:rRNA from 1 species
CUCUUCUUGUUUUUUGAUUUGAAGUAUGGCCUGCCCGCUGAUGGAUUUGAAGGGCCGCGGUAUUUUGACCGUGCAAAGGUAGCAUAAUCAUUAGUUCUUUAAUUGUGAGCUGGUAUGAAUGGUUUGACGAGGCAUUAUCUGUCUUUAAUUUGGAUUUAUUGAAUUUAUUGUUUGGGUAAAAAUACCUAGAUUUAUUUAUGGGACGAGAAGACCCUAUAGAAUUUUAUAUGAUGUGUUCUUUUUAGUUUGUUGUACUUUGUGAAUUGUUUAUAUUUUGUUGGGGUGAUGGGAGGAUAAAUUUAACUCUUCUUUUUUGUUUUCACUUAUUUGUGUUUUUGUGAUCCUUUAUUAUUGAUUGUAAGAUCAAAUUACCUUAGGGAUAACAGCGUAA